rnacentral:rRNA from 1 species
GACGAACGCUGGCGGCGUGCUUAACACAUGCAAGUCGAGCGCUGAAGCCUCUUCGGGGGUGGAUGAGCGGCGAACGGGUGAGUAACACGUGGGUGACCUGCCCUCAGCUCUGGGAUAAGCCUGGGAAACUGGGUCUAAUACCGGAUAGGACCUUCUGUUGCAUGACAGUGGGUGGAAAGUUUUUUCGGCUGGGGAUGGGCCCGCGGCCUAUCAGCUUGUUGGUGGGGUGAUGGCUUACCAAGGCGACGACGGGUAGCCGGCCUGAGAGGGCGACCGGCCACACUGGGACUGAGACACGGCCCAGACUCCUACGGGAGGCAGCAGUGGGGAAUAUUGGACAAUGGGCGAAAGCCUGAUCCAGCCAUGCCGCGUGAGUGAAGAAGGCCUUAGGGUUGUAAAGCUCUUUCAGCGGGGACGAUAAUGACGGUACCCGCAGAAGAAGCCCCGGCUAACUUCGU